AGUGGGGAAUAUUGCGCAAUGGGCGGAAGCCUGACGCAGCGACGCCGCGUGAGGGACGAAGGCCUUCGGGUUGUAAACCUCUUUCAGCAGGGACGAAGCGUGAGUGACGGUACCUGCAGAAGAAGCACCGGCCAACUACGUGCCAGCAGCCGCGGUAAUACGUAGGGUGCAAGCGUUGUCCGGAAUUAUUGGGCGUAAAGAGCUCGUAGGCGGUUUGUCGCGUCGACUGUGAAAACCCGAGGCUUAACCUCGGGCCUGCAGUCGAUACGGGCAGGCUAGAGUUCGGUAGGGGAGACUGGAAUUCCUGGUGUAGCGGUGAAAUGCGCAGAUAUCAGGAGGAACACCGGUGGCGAAGGCGGGUCUCUGGGCCGAUACUGACGCUGAGGAGCGAAAGCGUGGGGAGCGAA
rnacentral:rRNA from 1 species